rnacentral:lncRNA from 1 species
GGAUACUCCGCUGCACCACCAGCCGUACGGCACUGUGUGGAGACUGUCUGACUGUCGCCUCGGAAAGCAUUGCUGGGGUAUUUUUACUGGCUGCAGGCGGAGGGACUGAUCUUGGAAAGAAACUUCAUGUGAAGUCCCCAGCCCAUUUGCAGAUUCAUGUGCUGGUCAAUUUCUGGAUGAGAUUUCACCUUUCUCAGGUGGGUAAAGGUGAUCUCCUCCAUGAGGGCACAGAUCUGAGGUCCUAGUGAG